rnacentral:rRNA from 1 species
CGGGGUGGAGUAAUGUCUGGGAAACGUGCCUGAUGGGGGGGGAUAACUACUGGAAACGGUAGCUAAUACCGCAUAACGUCGCAAGACCAAAGUGGGGGACCGUUCGGGCCUCAUGCCAUCAGAUGUGCCCAGAUGGGAUUAGCUAGUAGGUGGGGUAACGGCUCACCUAGGCGACGAUCCCUAGCUGGUCUGAGAGGAUGACCAGCCACACUGGAACUGAGACACGGUCCAG